GUAUUUCGCCAAUGUCAAGUGUAUAAGUCAAUUAUAAAUAUGAUCGACUAAUUCGUCAUAUUAUAACGUCAUAAUAAUCAUAAGUCAUAUUUAUAACAGAUAAUAUUACUGUCGAAGGACUAAUAAGGAAGCCAAAACAGGAGAGCCCGUGAAAAUUAAUGUCACGUACUAGAAUCAUCGGAUUGAUAUUAUUUAGGAGUUUCACCGGCAAUAACGUUACGCGAGCGCCAAUACGAGCUGUUGAUGGUACCAUGACAGAAAUUCUCCGUGGGGUGCCAACAAGCGUUUUACCAAAUUACAUUUCAAUCAUCCGAAUGUCUUACGAACGUGCACGCAGACAUUGAUUUUUAUGUAAAUAAAUUAUUGAUGAAUA